GGCUCUGUAGCUCAGUGGAAGAGUAUCCCUCUGAUAAGGGGAAGGUCGCUGGUUCAACUCCGGCCAGAGCUAC
rnacentral:tRNA from 1 species